UACAGAGGGUGCGAGCGUCAAUCGGAAUUACUGGGCGUAAAGCGUGCGUAGACGGUUAUUUAAGUCGGGUGUGAAAGCCCCGGGCUCAACCUGGGAAUUGCAUUCGAGACUGAAUAGCUAGGGUACGGUAGAGGGAAGUGGAAUUUCCGGUGUAGCGGUGAAAUGCGUAGAUAUCGGAAGGAACAUCAGUGGCGAAAGCGACUUCCUGGACCAGUACCGACGUUCAGGCACGAAAGCGUGGGGAGCAAACAGG
rnacentral:rRNA from 1 species